CCUACGGGUGGCAGCAGUGGGGGAUAUUGGACAAUGGGGGCAACCCUGAUCCAGCGACGCCGCGUGAGUGAAGAAGUAUUUCGGUAUGUAAACCUCUAUUAUCAGGGACGAAAGAAGUGACGGUACCUGAGUAAUAAGCCACGGCUAACUACGUGCCAGCAGCCGCGGUAAUACGUAGGGGGCAAGCGUUAUCCGGAUUUACUGGGUGUAAAGGGCGUGUAGACGGGAAUGCAAGUCUGGAGUGAAAGGUGUGGGCCCAACCCAUGGACUGCAUUGGAAACUGUGUAACUGGAGUGCAGGAGAGGCAGGCGGAAUUCCGAGUGUAGCGGUGAAAUGCGUAGAUAUAAGGAGGAACACCAGUGGCGAAGGCGGACUGCUGGACUGUAACUGACGUUGAGGCGCGAAAGCGUGGGGAGCAAACAGGAUUAGAUACCCCAGUAGUC
rnacentral:rRNA from 1 species